UACGGUGAGCAGUUGCUGUCCUUUCACGGGGCAGAGGAAAGUCGAGACACGCACAUAAUUUAUGUAAAACGGCGCCCGGUGUAAGCCGGGGCAGGGCGACCUGACGACGGCGAAAGAAACUCCUGUUAGUUUUUAGUAGCUGUAAAGUGCCACAGAAACGAAGUCACCGGGCGACCGGUGAGUGCAAGGGUAAACUCCGCUGGCGUGCAACCCAAAUAGGUGGCCGUAGGCCACGGGUAGGGGCACCCCCUUCUAGGGGGAAGGAAUUUUCGAAUUCCUUAGAUAGAUGACUGCUUGAAAAACAGAAUCUCGCUUACAGCU
rnacentral:RNase_P_RNA from 2 species